rnacentral:rRNA from 1 species
UGCGUAGGCGGAUUGAUAAGUCAGUGGUGAAAUCCUACAGCUUAACUGUAGAACUGCCAUUGAUACUGUAGAUCUUGAGUACGGUUGAGGUGGGCGGACUGUGUCAUGUAGCGGUGAAAUGCUUAGAUAUGACACAGAACACCAAUUGCGAAGGCAGCUCGCUAAACCGUAACUGACGCUGAGGAACGAAAGCGUGGGGAGCGAACAGGAUUAGAUACCCUGGUAGUCC